rnacentral:rRNA from 1 species
CAUCGUCAGCUCACUUGAUAUAUGUGCAAGUUAUGAUAUAAGUUAUCCUUGUGGUAACUAUAAUACAUUCUUGUAUCAUUUAUUGUUGAGUGUGUCGGCGUGCACUUCUUCCCUAGUAGGACGUCGUGACCCGUUGGGUGUUGUUCUAUGGCUCAAAUGGUAGUCUUUGAUUAAUUUUUAAUUAAAGACCAUUGAUGUACCUGAUCAACUGCUCGACGGUAUUCACAUGGUAUUGAGUCGCAAUAUUCAUUUGCGUCAAGCUCAUUGCAAGCGCGGUUAUCAUUCAGUAGUACGGAUUUUAUGCCGUCAUUGAUGAUAACCAGUUGUUGGUUAAUGAUGUUCUUUGACUGACUCUACUUUUACCGGUCAACGACGCUACUGCUUUGGGUACUUUCAGGACCCGUCUUGAAACACGGACCAAGGAGUCUAACAUGUACGCGAGUCAUUGGGUAUUAUUUUUUAAUUAAACCUAAAGGCGUAAUGAAAGUAAAGGUCGUCUUUGUGUCGACUAAGAGAAGAUGAGUUGCAUUAUGAUGACAGCUCCGCAUUCUCAGGGCGUUUCAUUUUCAUU